rnacentral:rRNA from 1 species
UACAGAGGCCUCGAGCGUUAGGCGGAAUCACUGGGCGUAAAGCGCACGUAGGCGGCUUUCUAAGUCAGGGGUGAAAUCCUGGAGCUCAACUCCAGAACUGCCUUUGAUACUGGAGAGCUGAGUCCGGAAGAGGUGAGUGGAACUCCGAGUGUAGAGGUGAAAUUCGUAGAUAUUCGGAAGAACACCAGUGGCGAAGGCGGCUCACUGGCCCCGGUACUGACGCUGAGGUGGCGAAAGCGUGGGGAGCAAACAGG